UGGCGCUCGAGAGAACUCUGGCCAAGGAACUCGGCAAAUUGACCCCGUACCUUCGGAAUAAGGGGUGCUCCCCAUGGUGAGGCAGAUUCCUGCUCAGCCUCAGGGAGCCGCAGAGAAAUGGUGGUGGCGACUGUUUACUAAAAACAUAGGUCUGUGCGAAGUCCUACAGACGACGUAUACGGACUGACGCCUGCCCGGUGCCGGAAGGUUAAAAGGAGGAGUCAGCGCAAGCGAAGCCCGAUUUGAAGCCCCGGUAAACGGCGGCCGUAACGAUAACGGUCCUAAGGUAGCGAAAUUCCUUGUCGGGCAAGUUCCGACCUGCACGAAUGGCGUAACGAUCUCCACGCUGUCUCGGCCAGAGACUCGGUGAAAUUGAAGUCGCGGUGAAAAUGCCGUGUACCCGCAGAAAGACGGAAAGACCCUGUGCACCUUUACUAUAGCUUGACAUUGGGUUUUGAACCUGCAUGUGUAGGAUAGGUGGGAGGCUGUGAAAGCUGUACGCCAGUAUGGCCGGAGCCACCCGUGAAAUACCACCCUUGUUUGUUCAGGACCCUAACUCGCAGCUGUAAUCCAGCGCGAAGACAGUGUCUGGUGGGUAGUUUGACUGGGGCGGUCGCCUCCUAAAGAGUAACGGAGGCAUGCAAAGGUUCCCUCAGGCUGAUUGGAAACCAGCCGUUGAGUGCAAGCGCAUAAGGGAGCUUGACUGCAAGAGAGACAUCUCGAACAGAUACGAAAGUAGGUGCUAGUGAUCCGGUGGUCCCGAAUGGAAGGGCCAUCGCUCAUUGGAUAAAAGGUACGCCGGGGAUAACAGGCUGAUCGCAUCCAAGAGUUCACAUCGACGAUGCGGUUUGGCACCUCGAUGUCGGCUCAUCACAUCCUGGAGCUGAAGCAGGUCCCAAGGGUACGGCUGUUCGCCGUUUAAAGUGGUACGCGAGCUGGGUUUAAAACGUCGUGAGACAGUUUGGUCCCUAUCUUCUGUGGGCGUAGGAGAAUUGAGAGGGUUUGUCCCUAGUACGAGAGGACCGGGAUGAACGCACCACUGGUGGAUCAGUUGUCGCGCCAGCGGCAUAGCUGAGUAGCUAUGUGCGGAAUGGAUAACCGCUGAAAGCAUCUAAGCGGGAAGCCAGCCUCGAGAUAAGUUCUCCCUGUCGCAAGACACUAAAGGGCCGAUGAAGACUACAUCGUUGAUAGGCCGGAGGUGGAAGCGCUGCGAAGCGUGGAGCUGACCGGUACUAAUAGCCCGUGCGC
rnacentral:rRNA from 1 species